UACGGAGGGUGCAAGCGUUGUCCGGAAUCACUGGGCGUAAAGGGCGCGUAGGCGGCUCAUGAAGGCUGAGGUGAAAGUCCGGGGCUCAACCUCGGAUCGGCCGUGGCGACUCGUGGGCUGGAGCACUGUAGAGGCGGGUGGAAUUCCGGGUGUAGCGGUGGGAUGCGUAGAGAUCCGGAAGAACACCAGUGGCGAAGGCGGCCCGCUGGUCAGUGGCUGACGCUGAGGCGCGACAGCGUGGGGAGCAAACAGG
rnacentral:rRNA from 1 species